rnacentral:rRNA from 1 species
AAAUUGAAGAGUUUGAUCAUGGCUCAGAUUGAACGCUGGCGGCAGGCCUAACACAUGCAAGUCGAGCGGUAACACAGAGAGCUUGCUCUCGGGUGACGAGCGGCGGACGGGUGAGUAAUGUCUGGGAAACUGCCUGAUGGAGGGGGAUAACUACUGGAAACGGUAGCUAAUACCGCAUAACGUCGCAAGACCAAAGUGGGGGACCUUCGGGCCUCAUGCCAUCAGAUGUGCCCAGAUGGGAUUAGCUAGUAGGUGGGGUAACGGCUCACCUAGGCGACGAUCCCUAGCUGGUCUGAGAGGAUGACCAGCCACACUGGAACUGAGACACGGUCCAGACUCCUACGGGAGGCAGCAGUGGGGAAUAUUGCACAAUGGGCGCAAGCCUGAUGCAGCCAUGCCGCGUGUGUGAAGAAGGCCUUCGGGUUGUAAAGCACUUUCAGCGGGGAGGAAGGCGGUGAGGUUAAUAACCUCAUCGAUUGACGUUACCCGCAGAAGAAGCACCGGCUAACUCCGUGCCAGCAGCCGCGGUAAUACGGAGGGUGCAAGCGUU